rnacentral:hammerhead_ribozyme from 1 species
AUUCAGCUGACAAAUUCCAAAUAGGAUGAAACGCGCGACCUGGAU